CUUAACCCAGUCUUUUUGCACCCAUAGCCUCUUCAAGUUCCUUCAAAAUUUUGCCUGGGUGGCUUCAGCUGAAAGCAGAAAUGGCAGGAAGUAAUUGGGGGAGAUUCCCAAAUCUAUGCCCAACUGGGAAUCAAAUUUUUCUCUUGCCAAGAGAUGAGCUGAGGAGUCCUGUGCACUUAUCUUGGGGGAAACAUUGUUCCAUUCUUAGUAACAUGCCUGUUUGGCCUGUGGUCUGAGGUACUUACAACUUGCUGCAGUGUGGUAAAUGUGUCCCUUUUGAAACACUGUUCUGGGGACUUCAGAGAUGACGGACUGCAACCUACCACCUCAUAAAUGAGGGAUCUGAGGUACAAACUGGAACCCGGGUCUUCUGGGCUCAGAGAACUCUCCUCACUACAGCAGACUGCCUGUUUCCAUUUAGGGGAAUGAGAUGCUCUUUCAUAAAUGAUACCAAGUGCAAGAGAACUUAAGGCAGCUCCAAUCGAAGACUGUCUUGGCUGCUUCUGGAAACUACAGAUCACUACUCCCGAAGUCAAAAACGACUAGAACACAGCUUAAAAAUCAAGCCAUUUAAUUGUAUCUUUGAAGGUAAACAAUAUAUGGAGCUGGAUCACAACCCCUGAGGAUGCCAGAGCUAUGGGUCCAGAACAUGGUGUGGUAUUAUCAACAGAGUUCAGAAGGGUCUGAACUCUACGUGUUACCAGAGAACAUAAUGCAAUUCAUGCAUUCCACUUAGCAAUUUUGUAAAAUACCAGAAACAGACCCCAAGAGUCUUUCAAGAUGAGGAAAAUUCAACUCCUGGUUUUAGAGAUAAAUGAAUGAAGAGUACCAAAAUAUUUGUUGACUUCUCUUCAUUUUUCUCAUACAAUCUGAAGCCUGAGCUGACUAUCAUAUCCCCAACUCACAGCAGCGAAAGCUGCAGUUCAGAUUUGAGAUCAGUCUCCAUUCACUUCCACGUAGCACCACAGCAAGAGUGACCGGAGGCAGAGAGCUCUUGUUGGGUCAGCUUUCUAAUAAGCAUGUCAAGUGAAAAAGAACCCUCUAGCAGCACACUGAUUUAGUUUGUAAGAUUUUAAUUUACAAAUUAAAAAAGCUAUUUAAUACAUGUUUUACUUUUUCUCCUUUUUCUCCUCUUUCUUUACAUCACUCUUUUCCUUAUCUUUAUCUUUCUCCUUGUCCUCUUUCCUAUCCUUUUUGCUCUCUUCUUUCUCCUGCCCUUCUUUCUUCUCUGCAUCCCGGUUGGCAAUCUUGUUGUUGAUGAGGUUGUGCAGGGCGACCACGGAACGGAUCAGCGAGGCCAAGUACACUACCACCAUCUGGUCAUUGGUCUUCAGGUAAAAGGCCUUGACGAACUCCUGCAGGCUGACAUCUGGCAGCAGGUUGAAGACGUCCUGCAGCUGGUAGAUGAUCUGGUGGUUGAUGGGCAGCUUGCCUGUGGCGACUUUUUCCAGGUAGCUCCUGAUAUCCAGAAGCUUGGAGUUCAGUCCCUUCAAACCAUGGACCUGGUUUGUGAUCCGCUGGGACAGAGUGCCCACCGUCGUGUCUUUGAUAUCUCUGUAAUAACCCACAGUUAAAAAGGGCAGGAAAAGGCAUCAGGGUACCAUGUUAUCAGGCAAGUUCUUACAUUCUAAGAAAAUUCCUAGCUUUGUUGGGUGAGGCAAGUUUUUAAAAGAAAAAUGUCACUUCCCCAUUUGAUAAAGAUUUCGUUAUCAAUUACCUUAAUUUCGUUAUCAU
rnacentral:lncRNA from 1 species